rnacentral:rRNA from 1 species
GAUGAACGCUGGCGGCGUGCCUAAUACAUGCAAGUCGAGCGAACAGACGAGGAGCUUGCUCCUCUGACGUUAGCGGCGGACGGGUGAGUAACACGUGGAUAACCUACCUAUAAGACUGGGAUAACUUCGGGAAACCGGAGCUAAUACCGGAUAAUAUAUUGAACCGCAUGGUUCAAUAGUGAAAGACGGUUUUGCUGUCACUUAUAGAUGGAUCCGCGCCGCAUUAGCUAGUUGGUAAGGUAACGGCUUACCAAGGCAACGAUGCGUAGCCGACCUGAGAGGGUGAUCGCCCACACUGGAACUGAGCCACGGUCCAGACUCCUACGGGAGGCAGCAGUAGGGAAUCUUCCGCAAUGGGCGAAAGCCUGGCGGAGCAACGCCGCGUGAGUGAUGAAGGUCUUCGGAUCGUAAAACUCUGUUAUUAGGGAAGAACAAAUGUGUAAGUAACUAUGCACGUCUUGACGGUACCUAAUCAGAAAGCCACGGCUAACUACGUG